CAUACAUUGCCUCCUAGGCUUG
rnacentral:miRNA from 1 species